rnacentral:rRNA from 2 species
UACGUAGGGUGCGAGCGUUAAUCGGAAUUACUGGGCGUAAAGCGUGCGCAGGCGGUUUGCCAAGUCAGAUGUGAAAGCCCCGGGCUUAACCUGGGAAUGGCGUUUGAAACUGGCAGGCUAGAGUUUGGCAGAGGGGGGUGGAAUUCCACGUGUAGCAGUGAAAUGCGUAGAGAUGUGGAGGAACACCGAUGGCGAAGGCAGCCCCCUGGGUCAAGACUGACGCUCAUGCACGAAAGCGUGGGGAGCAAACAGG